rnacentral:lncRNA from 1 species
AAGCUAGCUAGUACCUAUUCCAUUUAUGUGGCGUCGUCAAAGAUGGAAUCAGCAUGCAGAUGAUGCAGAGCAGGCAACAGAUGGCACACAGACAGCAGAGUUGGAGACAGAUAUGCAGGGACAGACUGGCAGAGACAGGGAGUCUCAGUUGAAUCUCACUGACAUCAUCCGGCAGUAAGAAGAUGUCCACUCCACACCAGUAUUUCCCAGCAACCUUCAGGCUCAGUGUAUAUAUGACGACGGUGAAGACUGCAGCAGUGAUGUUGUCGUACACAGAGAAUCUCCCUUCUCUAACCCAGACGUCAUGCUUCCUGGUCCGAAGCUUCUUCAUGUGUCCCUCCACUCCCCUCACAGAGUAAUCCUUCUACCUUCACUACAUCCUACACUACUCCUGUUACAGUACCUUCACUACACCCUACACUACUCCUGUUACACUACCUUCACUACACCCUACACUACUCCUGUUACAGUACCUUCACUACACCCUACACUACUCCUGUCACAGUACCUUCACUACACAACUCCUGUUACAGUACCUUCACUACAUCCUACACUACUCCUGUUACAGUACCUUCACUACAUCCUACACUACUCCUGUUACAGUACCUUCACUACACCCUACACUACUCCUGUUACACUACCUUCACUACACCCUACACUACUCCUGUUACAGUACCUUCACUACACCCUACACUACUCCUGUCACAGUACCUUCACUACACAACUCCUGUUACAGUACCUUCACUACAUCCUACACUACUCCUGUUACAGUACCUUCACUACAUCCUACACUACUCCUGUUACAGUACCUUCACUACACCCUACACUACUCCUGUCACAGUACCUUCACUACGCCCUACACUACUCCUGUUACAGUACCUACACUACACCCUACACUACUCCUGUCACAGUACCUUCACUAUGCCCUACACUACUCCUGUCACAGUACCUUCACUACAUCCUACACUACUCCUGUUACAGUAUCUUCACUACAUCCUACACUACUCCUGUCACAGUACCUUCACUACACCCUACACUACUCAUGUUACAGUACCUUCACUACACCCUAGACUACUUCUGUCACAGUACCUUCACUACACCCUACACUACUCCUGUUACAGUACCUUCACUACACCCUACUCCUGUCACAGUACCUUCACUACACCCUACUCCUGU